rnacentral:rRNA from 1 species
CAGUCGAGCGCGAAUAGGGGCAACCCUUAGUAGAGCGGCGCACGGGUGCGUAACACGUGGAUAAUCUGCCUGGAUGCCUGGGAUAACCAGUCGAAAGAUUGGCUAAUACCGGAUAAGCCCACGGUCUCUUCGGAGACUGAGGGAAAAGGUGGCCUCUGUAUACAAGCUAUCACAACCAGAUGAGUCCGCGGCCCAUCAGCUAGUUGGCGGGGUAAUGGCCCACCAAGGCAACGACGGGUAGCUGGUCUGAGAGGACGAUCAGCCACACUGGAACUGAGACACGGUCCAGACUCCUACGGGAGGCAGCAGUGGGGAAUUUUGCGCAAUGGGCGAAAGCCUGACGCAGCAACGCCGCGUGUGUGAUGAAGGUCUUUGGAUUGUAAAGCACUUUCGACCGGGACGAAACCGUAAAGCCUAAUACGCUUUGCCUUGACGGUACCGGGAGAAGAAGCACCGGCUAACUCUGUGCCAGCAGCCGCGGUAAUACAGAGGGUGCAAGCGUUGUUCGGAAUUAUUGGGCGUAAAGCGCGUGUAGGCGGCUUUGCAAGUCGGGUGUGAAAGCCCUCAGCUCAACUGAGGAAGUGCGCCCGAAACUGCAGAGCUUGAGUGCCGGAGAGGGUGGCGGAAUUCCC